GGGUGCACACGCUGCGGUGACCCAAGGGUGUCGCCGCCGCCCACUGCUUCAGAAAGAGGGUGGCGGAGGAUCGCGGAGGGAGUGUGAGGUUGGGGUCGUGGCGAUGAAUAGGCACCGGAUCAUGGUGGCGCUUCUGGAGGUUCAUUCGAUUACAGUACCGCUAAUGCUGCAGUAGUAGAGAUGACACAAAGGGGGUGAUCUCUGGGUCAUGCAAGUAUCCCAGGAAGAGAAGUUUAUUAUUAAAGAUGUAGGGAAGGCGCUGUGUUGCGUACUGCACCAACUUAAUUUGGUGGGAACGGGCCGCUUGCGAGAGCGCAUGGAAUGUCUGAGCCCUAAUUCCCUUCGCCCAACUCGUCUCCUCCAAACCCUGGAAAAAUCUAGGGUUAGGUGUUUCCCGACUUACCAAUCGGGGGCUCCCAAUCCGACUUUUCACAGGGUCUGGUCUCUCCGAUUGUCCCGGCGAGCUCCGCCAUCGAUGGCUGCUGUCCUGUCAUCGCAAGAGAACAGCGCACCCGUCGCGACGCCCAAAUCACUGUGUCGCAUUGGAGAUGUUAAAAGGGUCACAAAGGAGACGGGUGUUCAUGUAAACAUAAACUUGGAUGGUUCUGGUGUUGCCAAUUGCAAUACUGGGAUUCCUUUUCUGGAUCAUAUGUUGGAUCAAUUGGCAUUACAUGGAUUGUUUGAUCUGAAUGUAAAAGCCACGGGGACAUUCAUAUUGAUGAUCACCAUACAAAGGAAGACGUUGCUCUUGCAAUUGGAACAGCACUACUUCAGGCACUAGGAGAUAGAAAGGGAAUUUACCGGUUUUGACACUUUGCAGCACUACUUGAUGAAGCUGCUAUUGAAGUAAUACUGGUCGCAGGCUUCUGCAUGGAAAGUGGUUGUUAUUCCAUGAAAGAGGCAAAACAACAGAGAGUAACCGAUCACAACACACCGAUCCAUAUAUCGGAGAAUUCAAGUAAAUAAACAUGUAAGAGAGAGAGAGAGAGAGAAUCUGAAAUGCUUCCACACUCUGGAAAGAACUACUACAGUUGAAAGGUUGACUGCUGAAUCUUACGAAGCCCGGACAAGUGUUGAAUCACAGCUUUUGCUCUUGGCUCAGGCAUAUGAUUCAGUCAAUUUCCACGCUUAAAGUACUGACGCAGCCAACCUAUCUAUGUCUUUUAAGAGUCAGGAGAUAUAGCUGAGACCGUCGGGACGUACACAUGAGAACUUGGUUUGUCCUAUCUGCUCCAAUGCUUUUGUUGCAAGCUUUGUCACCUCAAAUCUUGUCAAACUACAACAAAAUUGAACUAUCUUAUCCCUAUUAAGGCGGGCGGCCAAACCUUGUGCUUCCGUGCAGACAUGAGUUUCAUGUGUUCACUUUGUGUAUUAAAAUUAUUAUGAUGGAAUAAUUAUUGUAUCUCUUUGUGCAUUAAAA